GUCAGUAAUCUCACCUCUCAUGGGCUGGCUGUGAUUAGACGCCCCUGUGACUGACACCUGGGCACCAGAGCUGCCUGAUUAAGCUUGUGGGCUCCACGUGUGUUUGUUUAUUCAGCAUGUCACAGGCACAAACGCACUGCACUGAGCAUCAAGGGGAGUUAAAACCCACACAGGACCCAGGGCAGCACAUGGCUCAGUCUCCAAAGGGAGGUGCACCGAGAGGUGCUUGGACUUGAGGGAGCCAGGAGGGAGGGGAGUUGCCCUUGGUCUCAAUGAGUCUGUGGUCAGGAUCGUGAUGACCCAGUAACUUUCCUCCAAGAUCAGUGUUCUCAGGAUUAAGUCCUAACCAUCCAUCCAUCCAUCCAUCCACCCUCUCACUCUCCCUCCCACCCAUCCAUCCAUUGCUGGAACAUUGUUGAAGACCUACUAUGUGUCUGCACUCUGUGAAAGAGAGGUCCUGGCCCCUCUCAGCACAUGGAAAAGGUGGAAACCUGCAUUUGCUUCCCAAGCCUGAGGCCAGUGGGGCUGGGCUCCUGGGACACUGAAGACUUGGAAACUGAGGCACAGAAAGGCUAAGCCCCUUGUUAAAGUUCACACAGCAGGUCAGAAGUUCAAGUGAGAUCUUCUUUGGCCACCAUUAAGGGGCAGGGUUGAGCUCCUCGGGGAGAUUCAGAGAGAAACGUCUGCUUCUGUGUUUUUUCCGGCUUCUCCACGCUGCCUGCGUUCCUGGGCUCGUGGCCCCACCUCCGUCCUCAGAGCUCAGAGGCGGGUCCGGUCUGUCUCCUGCUGCGUCCCUCUGGCUCUGACUCUCCUCCUUCCUUCUUGGAUUACAAGGACUCUUGCAAUUAAAUUGGGCCCAGUAGGGAUUUCCCUUGGUCCGUGGCUAGGACUCCACGCUCCCAACGCAGGGGAUCAGGGUUUGAUGCCUGGUCAGGGAACUAGACGCCACGUGCUGCAACUAAAGAUCCCGCACGCUGCAGCAAAGAUCGAAGAUCUCAUGUGCAGCAACUAAGACCUGGCACAGCCAAAUACAGAAAUAUUUAAAGUAAAUAAAUAAAAACAGGGCCCAGUAGAUAAUCCAGGACCAUCUCCCAGCUCAAGGUGAGCUGCACAACAACCUUAAUUCUACCUGCCGCCUUAACUCCCCCUGUGACCUCACGUAUUUGCUGGUUCCAGGGAUUAGGACAUGGAUGGGGUUCAGUCGCUCAGUCGUGUCCGACUCUUUGCGACCCCAUGGACUGCAGCAUGCCAGGCCUCCCUGUCCAUCAUCAACUCCCGGAGUCCAGCCAAACCCAUGUCCACUGAGUCGGUGAUGCCAUCCAACCACCUCAUCCUCUGUUGUCCCCUUCUCCUCCUGCCUUCAGUCUUUCCCUUCAAUCUUUUUUUUUUAAUAAAACACAG
ensembl:lncRNA